ACCAGUUCUAUCUACAAAGACUCAGUCUAGUCAAAGUUUGCAUCUGGGUGCCACAGACUGGAAAUGUGCUGAAGACGCCACAGCAUAUGGCUGAAAGAGCCUUUAUACUGAGUGUGAAAGAGACACUUGGUAAAUCCUCUUGAAUAGAAAAACAGCUGGUGCCCAUGUGUUCAGCUUCGGGCUUUUCCAACUUAAAGCCUCCUCUGCAGGUGAAGCUGAGGACGGCAUUUCGGGGAGCAUCGGUGAGGCCUCACUCCCUUCCCUCUGCCCGGGGCGCUUCAGGUGGGAACCUCAGCAGAACGCGUGUGGGAAGCUGGUGUCCUUGCAUCCGCUCUGCACGCUGGCCAAGAAAUAAAGCUCUUAAAACCUUUUAUUUGGAGAUAAAGGUGGAUUUUAAUGCACUUGUGAAAAAUACUACAGGGAGGCUCUGUGACAACCUAAAGGGGUGGGAUGGGGUGGAGGUGGCAGGAAGGUUUAAGAGGGAGAGGAUGUAUAUAUAUACCUGAGGCUGAUUCAUGUUGAUGUACGGCAGAAACCAACACAAUAUUGUAAAGCCUUUAUCCUCCAAUUAACCAUAAAUAAGUUAGAAAUAGUAAUAAUAAUACAGGGAGGCCCCCUAUACCCCUUACUCAGCCUUUCCAGUGGCAGCAACCUGCAUAAGUAGGGAACAGUAUCACAAUAGGAACUUGACAAUAUAAUAAGUUCAUCCGUCUCAUUCGACUUUCACGCAUUUGUGUAUUUAGUUCCGUGCGCCUUUAUCGCCCGGGCAGAGCUGUUCGGCACCGUCACGGUCUGUACUCAGCAGCCGCGUCACAGGGAUCACCCCCUUUUGCAGCAGAUGCCCACCCCUCUUCUCACCCACUGUCCUCUGACACCUGCCCUCCUUCCGCACCGUGCUGACAUUUCGAGAGCGUUAUGUAAAUGCAAUCUUUCCCGGCACAGUCCUCCGAAAUUGGCUCUUUUCACUCAGCACGAUGUCUGGGGACUCUUCCACGCGUGUUUGUGGCUGAGAAGUGUCCGUGCUGGGGGUGGACCACAGUUUGUUUCACUCACUGGAGAACAUCUGGGUUCCUUCCAGAGUUUUUACAGGACAUUUGAGCACAGGUUUUUGUGUGAAUGUUUUUGUUUUGUGGGGAUAAAUAUUUAGGAAUACCAUUUCUGGGUCAUAUGGUAAAUGAAUGCUUUAAUUUUUGUGUUUUUGAUGUCUUUUCUGUUUUUACUGUGGUAACAGUCACAUAAUAUACAACACACAGUUUCAACCAUAUUUAAGUGCCCAGCUCUGUGAUGUUAAGCACAUUCUCGUUGUGGAACUCUCACCGUCGUCCCUAGAUUGAAACUCUAUCCCCAUUAAACACUAGGGCCCCCAUUCCCCUUCCCCAGCCCUCUGACUCUGUGAAUUUGACUAUUCUAGGGACCUCGUGUAAGUGGGAUCAAACAGUGUUUGUCUGCAUCUCAUGUAUAGUGGAAUGCAUUUUUAAGGUUGACUCAAUAUCCUGCAAACAGACUGUACUCUCUUUGUUUUCCCUGUGCUUCACAGUAGGUGCUCAUUAGUUAUUUAUUAUAUACAUCAGUUCAGUUCAAUCGCUGUCAUGUCCGACUCUUUGUGACCCCAUGGACGGGAGCACGCCAAGCCUCCCUGUCCAUCACCAACUCCCAGAGCUUACCCAAACUCAUGUCCAU
rnacentral:lncRNA from 1 species